rnacentral:lncRNA from 10 species
GGCAGCCCGCACAGACCUGUCCAAUGGCUGCACUUUCCUCGGGGCUGGCUGAGGAGUCGCGGCCAACAGAUUAAGCCGGGGGAGCCUAGCGAAGGGGAGGGAGAGGGCCACUCCAGCCCCGUGCGCCCCAGGCAGCCGGCUGCCCCAGAGCGCGGGGAGAGGGGACAGGCCGGGGAGCUAUCGGGGGAGCGCGGGGCGGUACCUCCGCGCCGCCGGGGCGCCAUCCUCGCAGCCUGCUCGCACGCCCUGGGCAGCUCCGCCAACUGCGCCCCACACCCACCUGGCUCCCGGGCCGCCUUCGCGCCCGACUGCGGGGGGCGAUCGCGCCCCGCCCCGACCCUGGCGGGGUCUCCCUGGGCACGAAAGGGUUAACCACAGCUCGCCCCUUCGCGGAGGCUGGUUCUGGUAGUGGCUAGGGAGUGGAGAAAGCAAACCAGAGCCGGUUCGGUUACCGACUCUGCGAAGCCCCCUCGACCCCAGCCCAGCGCGGGAGGGUGGCGGAAGGUGGUGCACCGCAGCGUGGUCCCCGCCGCUGCCGCCGCGGCUUUGCAAAGUGUCAGCGGGGGCGAAAGCGAGAGUUUAAAGGAACAGGAGGCCCAUUGAAUUUCCUACCGGAGCUUUCAGGGGCUCUGGCUCCCCAGUUUGUUUUUGUUUUUUCAGCUCGGGGAUCUGUUUCCGCGUUAACCCUUGCCGGCCCUCUCGUUAGUUGAUAUCUUAUUUUGCAUACAGUUAAUCAUUUUUGAAAGGGAUAAAUACAAGGAAAAGAAGCAAAGCGCUAUUGGUUAAAAGUACAGGAUCUAGAGCCCGGACAGCCUGGGCUGGAAUUUCACCUCCCCCGCAAUGAGCAGUUUAUCUCCUAGCCUCAGUUAUCCAUCCAUCAAAUGGAGAGAAUUAGAGUAACGCCCUUAUAAGGUGGUUGCAAUGGAUUGGAUGAGUUAACUGUAUAUUUAAUAAAUAUAGAACAUUGCCUACCGCAAAGUACAUGGCUUUGUUUAAGUGUUUACUGAAGCAAAAGUGAGAGAAGACGACUUCAAUCACAUAAUAAAUGUGCAUGUGUUCUAAGUUCAAGGUCCUUUCCACUCCAAGCUCUGAAGAGUCUAUGGAUGCUGUCAAUAGAUGUCUCGGCUUGCCACAAAACCCACUGGAAGUGGAUCCGGAUAAUCAAUCUACCUUUGCAAAUGUGAUGCUCAAAGGACGGCUCUCUCAUGGGAAACAAGAAAGGUUUCCCUUAAUCCAAUACUCAAUUUGCUCUUUAUUUCCAAACAACAGAUAUACACGUAUAAACACAAACAUAUAUCAUGCCUAUACUCUUUAUUAUGCCAGGACCCUGGCUCUUUCCUGAGCUUUCCUCCCAUAGGUUGAUUUCUACUUAGGUAACUGGGUUUUUCUAUUUCUGCUUAACUAGGAGUGUUUAAGUUCUAUGUAAUAUUACAUCCGAAUUUGAGUACCCGGAUAUAUACCUGCUUAAAAUCAAGUUUGAAAACUGAGUCUUCUCAUCAAAACCUGAUUGUGCGGUUGACCCUUGAACAACAGGGGUUUGAACUGCGAGGAUCCGCUUUUGCAUGGAUUUUCUUCCUCCUCUGCCACCCCUAACAGAGCAAGACUAACCCCUCCUCUUCCUCCGCUUCAGCCCACUCAAUGUGAAGACGAUGAGGAUGAAAGCCUUUCUGAUGAUCCACUUCCACUUAAUAAACAGACCUGUCCAAAAUUGGAACUUGGCUAACAGGAUGCUGAAGAAAACAGCAUGCUCACUUGGAAAUGAGAUUCUAUACAUGCUGUAGAAUACUUGGCAUUUAUUAUAAUCUUUUCUUAACUAUUCAGGAAAUAGUUUUUGUCCAUUUUAACAGGAUUUGUUAAAACUUUCUACAAUUGCUGUCAGAUAAAGGGAAAUUGCUAUUAGUGAAAUGCUUUUAUUCAGUCCAAAUAUUAUGACCUUUCCUCUAGGUCUCAGCAUUUCCUCUCCCUCCUCAUUUGGUAAGGCUAAUUUUUUGACCUCUGGUAUGCAAUUACAAGACUCAUUUGUUCGUCUUGGCUGAUCUGCUCUCAGAAUAAACUGUAAUUCUAUUGUACUGUUGAUGGAUAUUCCAGCUUUUUGUUCUUUAUAGUUUUAAGGUGAAAAUUUUAUCAAUUAUGUGUUUGAAUUGAAUAAACAUCUUUUUAAAACUCACUUAACAGCUAACAUAACUCUUUUUAACUGGAGCAUUUAACAUACAAGAAUACUUUAUGCCUUUUAGCCUCAUAUCAAUACUACAUGUACUAUCUAGAUGAAAUUAACAAUAUAGGCACAUUCAUAAUGAAACAAUAUCCUGCAUUAAAAUGGCAUACAUCUUUAUAGCCUCCUUUCUGAAUCUUAAUGAGCUAAAGUGGUUUUGACCAGUAAAUAGCAAAGCAUAAAAAUGUGUAACUCAAAAUGUAGAAAAGAUAUUAAUAAGAUGGAACACUAUAUUAUCAAAAGGGGGUAGGAGCAUUAUGUUACAUUUAUUUUUAAAUGGCA